CUGAUGUGGGUCAUGUGGCUGCUACACUUGCAUAACGCUCUUGAAUCACUGGGGUAAAUCUCUUAUCUAUGCAUGUUACCUUCCUAGCGAAUGCAGUGACAAUUGUAUGUUAUUAAUUCAAAGCAUUUGGGGAAUGUUGACCACUAAGAAGAUUAUUAAGCUUAUUUUCUGGGGGCAACGUGAAAGUUUUUUCUUCAAUAUGGCAAUUGGUGAUUUUAAUUUAUAACAAAUGCCAUUUAUUAUGCCAGACUAAGAUUUAGGUUUCAGUAUUUAAAUGACUUAUGGGGA
rnacentral:lncRNA from 1 species